CGUGGGGAGAGGCGGCAGCAGCAGCAGCAGCAGCAGCAGUAGUAGUAGUAGGGACCGUGUCGGCCCCGCUGCGGUGAGGGGGACGCUCCGGUAGCGAGAGGCUUCGCUGCAGUCAGGCCUCGAGCGACGUGCAGGGGCAGGUUUGCACAGGGUUCCCCCCUGCAAUGGGGGACAGAAAGGUGGUUUAGGUGCCGUUUCGGCUCUGUCCUGCUCGUUUCCUGCCAAGUGCAGGUGUUCCCCCUGCUGUUGGGUUUGCUUUUUCGAAGUGUCGGGAACAGCCGUGGCAAGGGAGGAGGCUGCUCCAACGUGACCGCACUGGGGUCUUGUGUAAAACCGUGGAGCACGGACAAAGGUGAAAGCAAUGGAGCCCAAUCCAAGUUAUUUCUUUUCCCAAGAUGGAAAAGGCAGUGUUGGGACAGGUUGGGGUGGCAUUUCCAUGUCCAGCUGUAGACCUCCAACUUGUGUUUCCCGAUUUUAGUAGCAGCACCUUCUGCUGCCUGUGGGCUGCAUGGUGAGCUUGAGUCCACCUGGGUGACAUUUUCCUGUUGGUGUUUGGCUUCUGGAUGGAAGAGCUGAAAUGAGUGCCACAAUGCCAGUAGCUUAAUCGCCUAGUUCUCAGUUGAACAAUUGUCCUUCUAGAAAUUUAGAGUAGUUGUGACUGGGUAUUUGUUUCAGACCCCAGGAUCACUUAUUUCUUUGCUCUUUUUAAGUGGAAAAGCAUUGAGUAGACAGCACUGAUACUGACUAUUUAACAUCGGGAUGCUUUUGCCAGCUUGCAUUCCACUGGUCUGUAUGUUGCACUGACAUGGUGCUGUUGACUUUCUGCUCCAAUCUGCAAACUUGGAGCAGCUAGUCAUAAUGAAUUUUUAUUGCCAUUGUAAUAGAGAAAGGCAUAUCUCAAAAUUUUGCCACUUCAGACCAGAACCCUUCAAGUUGAUAUACACUAUGUAAAGUAGAAGGCAUCUCUAAAUACUAAUCAAGAAUGGAAAAAGAGAAGAGAGUUUGCAAAUAGAUUGCGUUUGUCCUUUUGUCUCAGAGUGUUUUGCAGCUUUCAUGUCUUGAAGAAGCAAUGGUGUAUUUAGAUAGUAUUAGAAAUCAUCAGUAUAAUGUUUACAGAGUCCAGCUAUAAGAAGCAAGAAUCCAUCUGAGAACAAGGCAGUAACAUAGCUGUGAUGAGGUUUUAAAAUGCCUGUCUUUUUUUCAGCCAUUUGAAGUUUUGGCAACAGAGAUUAUAACUGGAAAGGUGUUAGAGGCAGAUAGCUACAGUGCAAUUCCUACUGAAAAGGUGGAUGGAACCUACUGUUGUGUAACUAGCUAUACAGGCCAACGGAGGUCCAUGGUGGAGCAGAUAUCUACUAGCUGCUCAUGAAGGAUGCCGUGCUUGAGCAGGUAGAUGUCCUUCAAUGCACCUGUGACCCCCUCAGAGAGCCUGUGCUGGAGCAGGCUCCUGGUAGAACCUGUGACCCCAUGGAGAAAGGAGCCCAAGCUGGAGCAGAUUUGCUGGCAGGACGUGUGACCCCAUGGAAAGGACUCAUUGUGGAGCAGUCUGUUCCUGAAGCAGGCCUCACACUCGAGAAAUUCAUGGAGGACUUUCUCCCAUGGGAGAAGCAGGGGAAGAGCAUGAGGAGGGAGCACCAGAGACAACCUGCGAUAAUAAACUGAGCACAACCUCCAUUCCCCAUCACUGUGCUGCUCGGGCAGAGGAGAGGAAGGAAAAUCAGGAAUGAAGUUGAGUCCUGGAAGAGGGGAAGGAAGGUGCUGUAACACUGAGCUUUUAUUUCCGAUUACCCUAUGCUGAUUUGAUUGGUAAUAAAUUGAUUUCCCCAAGUGGAGUCUAUUUUGCCCAUGAUGGCAA